ACAUUUUUGCAUUUUGUUAUACCUCUGCAGAUGUGUCUUGAAUCAUCUCCUUAGGGUAAACUCAUUAGGAUUCACUUCGGAUCCCCUGGAAAACUGGCUUCAGCCGAAACUGAAACCUGUGAGUCAUGCUGUUUUGCGACAAAUAUAUUUUUAGUUGGGAUGGCAUGAACUGCGUAUUUAAAGUCUGCUGAGAGGAGUUAUCUUCCACCAGCUAAUACUGGACAAAAGCCAGAGCUACUUGAAACAUGGCUUCUGAUAUUCUGGGCUUCAGCGCUGAAGAGAAAAUAAGCAUCUACAAGCUGACAGGUGCUGUGAUGCAUCUCAGAAACAUGAAAUUCAAGCAGAAGCAGAGAGAGGAGCAAGCUGAACCUGACGGCACUGAAGCUGAAGGCUACUGAGAUUUUCCAUGUAAACUGGCUGAAGAUCUGCACUGUAUCCAAAAGAUAUAAGGUUUGAGUUAUCGCCAUUGUUUCCUCAUGCAAACACUUCACAUUUUAGGCACUGUUGCUGAGAUGAGUGUACUGUAAUUUACUUUAGCUCUUCUUACAUAUUUAACAUGUUGAACAAUCAAACUUUUUUCUUUGUGGCCGAUAAAAUCACCUGCCUCAUAGGCCAUGGGACUAUGUUCUACCCCAGAGUGAAGGUCAGGUAUGAGUUUGUGAGCAAAGGCCAAACAUUGCCACAGGAAAUCUAAUGUUUUGAAGAUAAAGGUUUCUUCUGCAGGUAAAAUAUAAUGGCACAAAUCACAUGCUCGAUUUCUCAGGUGAACAAAUCAUGUCAUCAAAUCAAUGAGAUGUUCUUGUGGAUUGUCGUCUGCAUCAAUGAGAUAUUUGACACAAAGGAGCCAGGUCAUUUCUUCACUGGUGUGUUCGACAUCUCUGGAUUUUGAGGUCUUCGAUGUGUGACAGGAGUAAGAACUUGAAUUAUUGUUGUAUUAUUAGUUCAACAGCUUGGAGCAGCUUUGUAUAAACUUUGGAAAUGUGAAACUGCAACGGUUCUUCAACCACCACAUGUCUGUGCUGGAGCAAGAGCAGUGCAAGAAAGAAGGCAUUAAAUGGGAAUUUAUUGAAUUUGGUAUGGAUUUGGCUGCCUGAGUUGACCUCAUUAAAAAUUCACUAAUGAAAUUGA